GGGUUUUCUUUUGUUUUAUUUAGACUUAUAUAUUCUGAAUAAUUACUGGUUAAAGAUUCUUUAAUUUUUCUAAAAGCUUCUCUGUUUUUAAAUGGUCUUCUUAUAUUAAUUUAAUCCAAUCUAUAUUCAAGCAUAAAUUCAAACAUAUCUACCACUGCUGCAUUUUUUAAAUAACUGGGCUCUUAUACCAUUUGUAGGGGGGUGCGGAUAUAGGCAGAUAAUUAAUUUAUGAAAUAGAUUUAGUAUAUAUAUAAUGAAUCUAUUUUUCUCUGUGCGUGGAUAUUUCUUAAAUUUUGUUUCAAUAUCUUUUAAUGAUUUAUUCUUUUCGUAAGAUGUAUCUACCACUGCUGCAUUUUUUAAAUAACUGGGCUCUGAUACCAUUUGUAGGAGGGUGCGGAUAUAGGCGGAUAAUUAACUUAUGAAAUAGAUUUAGUAUAGGCGGAUAAUUAACUUAUGAAAUAGAUUUAGUAUAUAUAUAAUGAAUCUAUUUUUCUCUGUGCGUGGAUAUUUCUUAAAUUUUGUUUCAAUAUUUUU
rnacentral:lncRNA from 1 species